GGUUAAGCGACUAAGCGUACACGGUGGAUGCCCUGGCAGUCAGAGGCGAUGAAGGGCGUGCUAAUCUGCGAUAAGCGCCGGUAAGGUGAUAUGAACCGUUAUAACCGGCGAUACCCGAAUGGGGAAACCCAGUGUGACUCGUCACACUAUCAUUAACUGAAUCCAUAGGUUAAUGAGGCGAACCGGGGGAACUGAAACAUCUAAGUACCCCGAGGAAAAGAAAUCAACCGAGAUUCCCCCAGUAGCGGCGAGCGAACGGGGAGGAGCCCAGAGCCUGAAUCAGCAUGUGUGUUAGUGGAAGCGUCUGGAAAGGCGCGCGAUACAGGGUGACAGCCCCGUACACAAAAGCGCAUGUGCUGUGAGCUCGAUGAGUAGGGCGGGACACGUGGUAUCCUGUCUGAAUAUGGGGGGACCAUCCUCCAAGGCUAAAUACUCCUGACUGACCGAUAGUGAACCAGUACCGUGAGGGAAAGGCGAAAAGAACCCCGGCGAGGGGAGUGAAAAAGAACCUGAAACCGUGUACGUACAAGCAGUGGGAGCACCCUUUGGGUGUGACUGCGUACCUUUUGUAUAAUGGGUCAGCGACUUAUAUUCUGUAGCAAGGUUAACCGAAUAGGGGAGCCGGAGGGAAACCGAGUCUUAAUUGGGCGUUAAGUUGCAGGGUAUAGACCCGAAACCCGGUGAUCUAGCCAUGGGCAGGUUGAAGGUUGGGUAACACUAACUGGAGGACCGAACCGACUAAUGUUGAAAAAUUAGCGGAUGACCUGUGGCUGGGGGUGAAAGGCCAAUCAAACCGGGAGAUAGCUGGUUCUCCCCGAAAGCUAUUUAGGUAGCGCCUCGUGAAUUCAUCUCCGGGGGUAGAGCACUGUUUCGGCUAGGGGGCCAUCCCGGCUUACCAACCCGAUGCAAACUGCGAAUACCGGAGAAUGUUAUCACGGGAGACACACGGCGGGUGCUAACGUCCGUCGUGAAGAGGGAAACAACCCAGACCGCCAGCUAAGGUCCCAAAGUCAUGGUUAAGUGGGAAACGAUGUGGGAAGGCCCAGACAGCCAGGAUGUUGGCUUAGAAGCAGCCAUCAUUUAAAGAAAGCGUAAUAGCUCACUGGUCGAGUCGGCCUGCGCGGAAGAUGUAACGGGGCUAAACCAUGCACCGAAGCUGCGGCAGCGACACUGUGUGUUGUUGGGUAGGGGAGCGUUCUGUAAGCCUGCGAAGGUGGCCUGUGAGGGUUGCUGGAGGUAUCAGAAGUGCGAAUGCUGACAUAAGUAACGAUAAAGCGGGUGAAAAGCCCGCUCGCCGGAAGACCAAGGGUUCCUGUCCAACGUUAAUCGGGGCAGGGUGAGUCGACCCCUAAGGCGAGGCCGAAAGGCGUAGUCGAUGGGAAACGGGUUAAUAUUCCCGUACUUGGUGUUACUGCGAAGGGGGGACGGAGAAGGCUAUGUUGGCCGGGCGACGGUUGUCCCGGUUUAAGCGUGUAGGUGUGUGUUCCAGGUAAAUCCGGUUCACUUUAACACUGAGGCGUGACGACGAGGCACUACGGUGCUGAAGCAACAAAUGCCCUGCUUCCAGGAAAAGCCUCUAAGCAUCAGGUAACAUCAAAUCGUACCCCAAACCGACACAGGUGGUCAGGUAGAGAAUACCAAGGCGCUUGAGAGAACUCGGGUGAAGGAACUAGGCAAAAUGGUGCCGUAACUUCGGGAGAAGGCACGCUGACACGUAGGUGAAGUGAUUUACUCAUGGAGCUGAAGUCAGUCGAAGAUACCAGCUGGCUGCAACUGUUUAUUAAAAACACAGCACUGUGCAAACACGAAAGUGGACGUAUACGGUGUGACGCCUGCCCGGUGCCGGAAGGUUAAUUGAUGGGGUCAGCGCAAGCGAAGCUCCUGAUCGAAGCCCCGGUAAACGGCGGCCGUAACUAUAACGGUCCUAAGGUAGCGAAAUUCCUUGUCGGGUAAGUUCCGACCUGCACGAAUGGCGUAAUGAUGGCCAGGCUGUCUCCACCCGAGACUCAGUGAAAUUGAACUCGCUGUGAAGAUGCAGUGUACCCGCGGCAAGACGGAAAGACCCCGUGAACCUUUACUAUAGCUUGACACUGAACAUUGAGCCUUGAUGUGUAGGAUAGGUGGGAGGCUUUGAAGUGUGGACGCCAGUCUGCAUGGAGCCGACCUUGAAAUACCACCCUUUAAUGUUUGAUGUUCUAACGUGGACCCGUUACCCGGGUUGCGGACAGUGUCUGGUGGGUAGUUUGACUGGGGCGGUCUCCUCCUAAAGAGUAACGGAGGAGCACGAAGGUUGGCUAAUCCUGGUCGGACAUCAGGAGGUUAGUGCAAUGGCAUAAGCCAGCUUGACUGCGAGCGUGACGGCGCGAGCAGGUGCGAAAGCAGGUCAUAGUGAUCCGGUGGUUCUGAAUGGAAGGGCCAUCGCUCAACGGAUAAAAGGUACUCCGGGGAUAACAGGCUGAUACCGCCCAAGAGUUCAUAUCGACGGCGGUGUUUGGCACCUCGAUGUCGGCUCAUCACAUCCUGGGGCUGAAGUAGGUCCCAAGGGUAUGGCUGUUCGCCAUUUAAAGUGGUACGCGAGCUGGGUUUAGAACGUCGUGAGACAGUUCGGUCCCUAUCUGCCGUGGGCGCUGGAGAACUGAGGGGGGCUGCUCCUAGUACGAGAGGACCGGAGUGGACGCAUCACUGGUGUUCGGGUUGUCAUGCCAAUGGCACUGCCCGGUAGCUAAAUGCGGAAGAGAUAAGUGCUGAAAGCAUCUAAGCACGAAACUUGCCCCGAGAUGAGUUCUCCCUGAGACUUAGAGUCUCCUGAAGGAACGUUGAAGACGACGACGUUGAUAGGCCGGGUGUGUAAGCGCAGCGAUGCGUUGAGCUAACCGGUACUAAUGAACCGUGAGGCUUAACCUU
rnacentral:rRNA from 1 species